GAUGAACGCUAGCUACAGGCUUAACACAUGCAAGUCGAGGGGUAACGAGAGGAAAGCUUGCUUUCCUUGUCGACGACCGGCGCACGGGUGAGUAACGCGUAUCCAACCUGCCCCCAACUAGGGAAUAACCUUGAGAAAGUAAGACUAAUACCUUAUAAUUUCCUCAGAUGUCAUCUGACGAGGAAUAAAGAUUUAUCGGUUGUGGAUGGGGAUGCGUCUGAUUAGCUUGUUGGCGGGGUAACGGCCCACCAAGGCAACGAUCACUAGGGGUGCUGAGAGGAAGGUCCCCCACAGUGGAACUGGGACACGGUCCAAACUCCUACUGGAGGCAGCAGUGAGGAAUAUUGGUCAAUGGGCGGAAGCCUGAACCAGCCAAGUAGCGUGCAGGAUGACGUCCCUAUGGGUUGUAAACUGCUUUUAUACAGGAAUAAAGUUAGCCACGUGUGGUUAUUUGUAGGUACUGUACGAAUAAGGACCGGCUAAUUCCGUGCCAGCAGCCGCCGUAA
rnacentral:rRNA from 1 species